CACGUAGGGAGCAAGCGUUGUCCGGAUUUAUUGGGCGUAAAGAGCUCGUAGGUGGUUCGGUAAGUCAGGUGUGAAACCUCCAGGCUCAACCUGGAGACGCCACUUGAUACUGCUGUGACUGGAGUCCGGUAGGGGAGCGUGGAAUUCCUGGUGUAGCGGUGAAAUGCGCAGAUAUCAGGAGGAACACCAGCGGCGAAGGCGGCGCUCUGGGCCGGUACUGACACUGAGAAGCGAAAGCGUGGGGAGCGAACAGG
rnacentral:rRNA from 1 species